ACUCCUACGGGAGGCAGCAGUGGGGAAUAUUGCACAAUGGGGGAAACCCUGAUGCAGCCAUGCCGCGUGUGUGAAGAAGGCCUUCGGGUUGUAAAGCACUUUCAGUAGGGAGGAAGGUAGUGUAGUUAACACCUGCACUAUUUGACGUUACCUACAGAAGAAGCACCGGCUAACUCCGUGCCAGCAGCCGCGGUAAUACGGAGGGUGCGAGCGUUAAUCGGAAUUACUGGGCGUAAAGCGCAUGCAGGCGGCCUGUUAAGUCAGAUGUGAAAGCCCGGGGCUUAACCUCGGGAAUUGCAUUUGAAACUGGCAGGCUAGAGUCUUGUAGAGGGGGGUAGAAUUUCAGGUGUAGCGGUGAAAUGCGUAGAGAUCUGAAGGAAUACCAGUGGCGAAGGCGGCCCCCUGGACAAAGACUGACGCUCAGAUGCGAAAGCUGGGGGAGCAAACAGGAUUAGAUACCCUGGUAGGAUAGCG
rnacentral:rRNA from 1 species